ACUGCUGAAGUACUUCAUUGUGAUGUUAGUCAAUACGGAAUGUUCUUACCAGGAGUUAGUCAGGAAUUGAGGUGCUGUUCAAAGGAACUGCUGAUAUUAACUGAAAAAUUGAGUCAUUAUUCUACUCUGCACUUUUGAAUUUACAGAAAAUGAUGGCAUGUAGCCACAAGUAAAACAUGAUGCUAAACAGAGGUCAAGACCUGGAAAAGUAAAUUCCAAAUUCCAUUGGUUUUCCAAUGGUAGCUAGUAGUAUACAAGCUGCAGUUAAAAAUGAGACUGAUACUAAGAAGUCACAGGUUUCCAGUUCAUUGCUCUCCAGGAACCCAAAUACCAAAACAAAAAUGCCUGUUCAAUACCUGGGUUAGGCUCAUCAAGAAAUAAUGGACAUUUGAAGCAGACUGUUCACACUUGUCCAGUUCAAAUUAUGUUCAUUUAAGCUCCUGAAGUGACCUUGUGACAUACAGUAUUUGGAAUUUGGAUAAAUUUGUUUUGCAUGCACAGCAUUUUGAUUCAAAUUAGGUGCAAACAUUGGAUUGUAUCUCAACCAAUUCUGUGUAAAAGGUCUGACUUUAAAUUUGUGUAAAAGGAAGUCUGGAGGUAACCUGCUUUCAGUUCAGCCUUACUACUUCACCGUGAGUUCCUUUCCUUUCAGCUUGGUAUCAAUUUUAAAAACAAAUCUCAAGAAAAUCACAAUUAUGCCAGCACCUGGAUUAAAAAUAAUAAUACCAUGUGUUAAUUGUCUUUUGUAGCUACUUGACCUGUUUAUGGUGUGGGACUGGUCAACAUAUCUCGCAGAUUAUGGGCAAGCUACAUCCAAGUAUCUAAGGGUGAAUCCCAGCACAGCUCUGAUCCUCCUUGAGAAAAUGAAAGAGACAAACAAAAAGAACAACAUAUUUUCUCAGUUCAGAAAAAAUGACCGUGACAAGCAGAAACUGAUUGAGACAGUAGUGAAACAACUGCGUAGUUUGGUGAAUGGUAUGGCCCAACACACAUAAGACUGUUGCCCUGAUUACAUUGUUGCUAGCCUGUGUCAGUCUUCAACCAGCAUUCAUAUACAACAGACUGUCAAAAGACUCUGAAGGAUAAGACUGUAUCAAGUACAGAAUGAAUCAUUCAGGAAUGUAAAGGGUAGAGUGGAAUAAGAGGAGGAGAAAUGGGUGGAAACUGUUUUGUAUGUGUUUUUCAAAUCAUUUGGUGUUUUAAGAUUUUGAGUAUGUGCAAUGGCCUUUAUUAAGCACCAAAUGUUUAUCAUGUUCAAAACAACCACAAAAAACUAGAAAGCUAAAAAUUAGAGCAUGUUCUUGAUUGUUAGGCAGAGACAACACAGAAGGUGAGUUGGGUAAGUUAACAAAAUAUUUCACAGGUUUUUACUAGUUGCAGCUGCAGUAUCAUUUUGCUUUAGUCUAGCAUAACACUGCUGUCUAAUUUUGUGCAAUUGGUCAAAGGUGACAUUACUUAGUAAAUAAUUUUUUUUUAAAUUAGCCAUGAUGUUCCAAUCUUGCAUACAGAGUUGACUUGUUUCUGUUUCACUUUUUGUUAAACAGAUGUUUUGUAUGUUUUACCAUUAAUGGAUUAAUGUUCAUUCUAACUGUUUUCAUUUUUCACAUUGUGAAAAAAGAUGUUCAGGACUGUUUUAUUCACAUUACAGAUGUUACUGCACAUAAAUUUUGUAUUUUUGAUUUUUACUCAGGGCUGUACUAUGUGAAUUUUGUUGGGUAUUUUGCAGAAGUUUAAAAACGAACUUGAAGCACUAGCCUGUAGCAAUCACAAGUGAUAUGAAAUUACUUUUGAUCUGCUUCAGCAUAUUUCCCUUCUUUCUCUUUGAUACACUUCAUGUGAGAUGUAGAUUAUUGAUGAAUAAUAAUGCUGGUUUUAUUUUGAUUGUUCCUCUGCACUCCCAAUAGGAAAUGUAUUGUAUAGAUGUCUUCACUAUCUUACUGUAUGACCUCCUUUGGCUCCUCUUUGUAAGACAGACAAAAAUGAAGGAAAUUUAAUUCUGUAAAUUGAUUGAUUGCAGUACUUUAUUCUUACUCUGUAAUAAAAGUAACCCUGAGCACUUUUUAA